UAAGCAUAUCAAUAAGCGGAGGAAAAGAAACCAACAGGGAUUGCCUCAGUAACGGCGAGUGAAGCGGCAACAGCUCAAAUUUGAAAUCUGGCCCCAGGCCCGAGUUGUAAUUUGCAGAGGAUGCUUCGGGCACGGCGCCUCCCAAGUCCCCUGGAACGGGGCGCCUGAGAGGGUGAGAGCCCCGUACGGUUGGAUGCCUAGCCCAUGUGAAGCUCCUUCGACGAGUCGAGUAGUUUGGGAAUGCUGCUCAAAACGGGAGGUAGACCCCUUCUAAAGCUAAAUACCGGCCAGAGACCGAUAGCGCACAAGUAGAGUGAUCGAAAGAUGAAAAGCACUUUGAAAAGAGGGUUAAACAGCACGUGAAAUUGUUGAAAGGGAAGCGCUCGUGACCAGACUUGCGCCGGGGCGAUCAUCCGGCGUUCUCGCCGGUGCACUCGCCCCGGCUCAGGCCAGCGUCGGUUUGGGCGGGGGGAGAAAUGCGUCGGGAACGUGACUCCCCCGGGAGUGUUAUAGCCCGGCGCGUCAUGUCCCCGCCCGGACCGAGGUUCGCGCUCUGCAAGGACGCUGGCGUAAUGGUCACCAGCGGCCCGUCUUGAAACACGGACCAAGGAGUCGAGGUUCUGCGCGAGUGUCUGGGUGUCAAACCCGCACGCGCAAUGAAAGUGAACGCAGGUGGGAGCCUCGGCGCACCACCGACCGAUCCUGAUGUUCUCGGAUGGAUUUGAGUAGGAGCGUAGGGCCUCGGACCCGAAAGAUGGUGAACUAUGCUUGGAUAGGGUGAAGCCAGAGGAAACUCUGGUGGAGGCUCGCAGCGGUUCUGACGUGCAAAUCGAUCGUCAAAUCC
rnacentral:rRNA from 1 species